rnacentral:lncRNA from 1 species
GUCAUCAUUGGGAGAUUGUUCCUCAGCACCGUUAAAGCAAUCUUCUACAUUGGAACCGGAGAAGUCCACAUGCACUUCCCCUCUGAGAAGGUACGCCGCUAUUUCACUGACCUUAACUAUAUAGUUGAACACUCUAAGCAGGUCAGGACAAGAAGAAGACGACGCAACCGCAACCAGAGGAGGCAAAUCAUCAAGGACGGAUGGGCAGACUACGAAGAAGUGGUAAUAUCUGAAGACAUACUGCUUGAACAGAACUGUCCUGAGGAGACCGUAGCACCGAGUCAGGUGUGUAGAGACAAGAUAGUUAUACAUGAAGAAGAAGCGCCGCCGGAACCACCGACUACGCCAUCCAGCAAAUCCUAGGACGACUGAGAAAACAGAGAGUCCCGUUCGGAGGACUUAAAAACACCAAACGCCUUGCCAAGAGGUAAACUUGGUAAUUAUCCAUUCCCUUUCAAUUAUUUAAAAUAGUUUGCUUAGUUAAUCAGGUUAAUAUCAUCUUGAAAAGAAAAUAAAAAUGUUAAAAAAUAGUAAGCCCCAUGUGAGUAUGCUCAUGGCAUAAAACCCAUAAGUACAUUCACUGUGGUGGCAUAAAAAUGAAAUAAAUAUAUUCCUGUCCUAUAAAAAUAAAAUUAUAAAAAUAAAUUUAUGAUCCUACUAAAGAGAGUAACAUUUUUUGAGGAGGCUCAACAUGAUAAAUGAUAGAUAUUUAUGCUAACACUUAACAAGUUCCACAAAGCUUUGUUGUCUAUUUGAUCUCCACAGAAUUCAAGGAUCAAAGAAGACUAGCAGAGGGACGACAUCCUACUCGCUGUCAGGGCGCUGCCAACAUUCAAAUACACCUCUGCCACGUGCUAGCUACAACAGAAGAAAUUACGUCAAAAUCCAGCUUGGGGGAGAGCACCCCCAUUUAUCCAGCUAAGUGUUUCUACUCGCAUUAUACUCAAAUAAUAAAAAGAUGCAUAAUCAUGAAAACCCAAAUAAAUAUUUUGUGCAUAUAUAUAUCUUUGCUUAGUUUGCUAAAUAAAUAAAUAAAUAAAGAUCGCAUGAACCCUCAUGAUAAGCUCUCACAUGGAAAUAAUGAAUAGUUGCUCUGCCAUGACUAGUUCUCAAAAUUGAAAUCUCUCUCAAGUUUAGGCAUGACUGUUAUUAAUUAAGAUUUGCUCUAAACCUGAACUUGUGGGAAGAGUACUUGAUCUAAAGUCUAAUUCGUUAACGGAUAUGAUAUGGGAAGGUUGAGCUGCUGUUUAUCUGUUCCUAGAGAUGCUAGAAUUCUGGAGAAUUUUAUCUUUGAAAAUCUUUAAAAUGUUGCAUGAUGAGUUCCUGUAUGAUGAGAGUUUAAAUUCCUACCACAGCCAUAUAUACAUGCUUAUUGGACUAUGAACCACACAUUUACUUUUUACUGCUUAUGAGCAUUGAGUGUGGUCAAGCUGUGUAGACCCUUAGGAGCUUGUGAUGUGGUUAAAUCAAGAUUCACUUGCACGUUCACUCACACAUGCUACUUCUACUCCAGAAGUACCAUCCACAUAUAUCCAUCCAUUUCCAUCUCCAGAACCACCCAAAAAUAUUCUACUCCUAAUCCGGGAGAGAAUAGCCAAAAACAUUCUCCUAUUUCUGUUUUUCCCUAUGAAAUAAACGCUCAAGUUAUCUUGGUUACUACCACUUGCUAUAUUAUUUUAGGAGAUAAGUGCUCUAAAAAAAGAAAAAAAAGAGAUAAAAAAAAGAGAUACGAGGAAAUAAAAAGGGGCAAGUACCCGGAACCUCGAAAGAUAGAAAAAGUGAGACGAGAGGUAAAAAUGGACAAGUGUCCGACAGUACAAUUAGGGGUACAAGAUACCCACAUGAGAGAAAAAGAAAAUAUAGAGCAUCUCAUUCUCCUCAAAAAGUUUCAAAAGAGCAAGAAAGGUAUGUAUCCCCUCAAAAGAGCACAAGUAGAAUUAGACUUUCACCAUUGUUAUUACCAUCAUCACCAUACAUCAUUCAUUCACCACACAUGCACAUCUUGAUUUGACUUAUGGACUUGUUCUUCUGGAUCCAUGGUUUGACUAUGCAAUAAAUAUCUUGUAAGUAUGUAUUAGCUGUCUCCCACCUAUGAGCUCCAGAUAUCAAAACCUUAUUAGAGUAGGGUGAGAGAGAAGGCAAUGCACUAUGCUUCAUACCACAAAUACCACAUACUUUGAGAGCAGGCAUAUACCAUCACUGUCUUGGUAAGGAUCCAGAAAUACCACAAAAGAGAGACUAGAGAGAGUCAUACAAGGAAUCUCUGAGUUUUAUUUGAAAAUCUGCAAAAACUCCAGAGCUAUAGUUAAUCGAAGAACAAGAGAUAUGGUGCUUGACUAGACCGUUCUAUCUUUUAACUGCUCAAGACACAGGUGACGGUUGCAAGCCCCUUGGUGGAAGGCAAUAUGAGUAAGUUUAAAUCUUAACAGUUUACCCUAACCCAGAGAUGAGAUCUUGUUUGAACGCAUGUGUAUCUUUAAGGCAUGAAACCACUGUAGAAACUCUUGAGUUCAUCUUUGCUCAGGGACGAGUAAAGGUUAAGCUUGGGGGAGCUUGUUGACGGUCCUUAAUGCUCACAUUUAACCAUCAACUAAUCAUAGAAAAGGAUCCAAAUGCAACUAACACCCAGACUUAGGGUUUUAUCUCACAGAAUUCCAUGAGUUUUGGUGUUUGUCUAUUUCUACAGGGGUUAUCAGGAAAUACGGAGGAAAGGCCCACACGUCGGGUUUACAUAGAGAUAUGAACGUGCCGCGCAAUUUUCUAUCAUCUAGAAGACUCCAGAAGCCACGGGAACGAAGCGGAGGCCGAGAGGGCUCGGGCAUAGGGCGCCCGCCCUAGUCCUGAGGGCGCCCGCCCUGCUACAGUGCUCAAUCAGAGUCCAAUUCGGGGACAACGCUCCACCGACCUAAAGGAUCAAGGAAAACCAUGCGAUUAAUGUCAGCUUGAUCCAACGGCCCAGAUUCAUCUGAAAAGACUAUAUAAGAAAGGCCCCCUGGCCCCUGGAGAUCAUACCUCUUCUACAGAAUCAAAGUUAGGGUUUCAAUUCUUCAUCCAAGUAGAGAGGAUUCCUCUAGUUCUUCUAGUUCUACCUCUAGUUCAUCUAGAUCUAGUUCUAGUUCAUCUAGUUCUAGUUCUAGUUCCUCUAGUUCUAGUUCUAGUUAGUUCUAGUUGUAAUCUAGAAAAUAGGAAGAGAGAAGAGGAGAGCGGAGGAGGAGCCGGAUCUGUCGGAUCUUCCUCAACAUUGUACUUUUGCAGCAACUAGUUCGUUCUUCAUCGUUCUCUAGGUUCUUCAAUUCAUAAUUCCUGAGUUCUUUUAUUACUUUUAUUUACAUUCAAGUUAUUUAUUGGAUUCCCGCUUGCAUCAAGUGCUCUAAUCUUUGAAACAUUAGAGUAGUAAUUAAUAGAUUAGACGUGGUGUUUAGUCUUGCAUUACCUGGAAUUGCACCCAAUCCUGCAGAUUGUUGUUGUAGCCUUAGGGUAGUGACAGCCCUAACGGUCGACAUAUUCCACCUCGUUCGGAUCGUUGUUUGUAGGACCGUAGUCGGAGCUUCCUAGCCCCCUUCUUAUCUCUUUCUGUGGUUAGUGUUCUGAUGUCCCGAAAUAGAUAAUCUUGAAGUAAUUCUUGAUUAUUAGAUCAACUAGAGAACUCUCAGGAAACUUCCUCUCUUCCCACCAUAAAUAAUUAUAUAGUUAUCCUUGGGCGAUCUUGAUUCUUAAUUAGUACACUCACGUUCUCUGUGGAAAAUCGAUACUCUGGAAUACUCCCGGGUGAAGGCUACAUCGGUAUCCGUGCGCUUGCAGAUUUUUCUGUUUGCGUUUAAAAUACCCAACAGGCAUUCUUGCAUAAAAAUGUCAAGGAUGCCAGGGACCUCAUUGAAAAGAUGGUCGUCAACCAAGGAUGGAAUGAGGAGUGCCUCCAGCCCAAGAAGAGAGGUGUCCAUGCCCUCAAUGAGGUGGACAUGCUCUCUGCCAAGAUGGACCUCCUUAUGAAGAAAAUAGAGGAAUCUUCCUAUAAAAAGGGAUUGAGGCCAUCCACACCCCUGCUGCUGUUCAUGCUAUGGAAACUGAUCCAUGGUGCGAGGUAUGCGGAGGAGAUGAUCACUCUGGCAAUAACUGCCCCGAGACCCAAGAGGAGGUGAACUACAUCAACAAUAACUUCAACAACGGGAAUCGGCCCCAACAACAACAAUGGAGUUCACGCCCCUUCUACCAAGGCCAAGGUAUGGGUUACAAUAAUAAUUUUGGUAAUUCCUUUGGUAACCAACCUUCACUUAAAGAUCUUGUGCUAGGCCAAACUAAAAUUAAUGACAAUAUCAAUAAGAGAAUUGUGGCUAAUGAUAAGAUCCUAGAAAGCCUUAGUGAGAAAAUGGACAGCUUCAAUUCUACCAUUAAGAAUCAAUUGAGCUUUAAUAAAAUGUUAGAAACAUAGUUAGCUCAAUUAGCUGUAGUUGUCCCAUCAUAUGAGCAAGGUAGGAUCCCAGGGAAACCUGAGGACCCGCUUGAGUGUGUUAAAAUAGUCUCUACGAGGUAUGGUAAGCCUCCGGUCCGUUCAAAUUGGGGAUAUCUCCUUGAUCCCCCGUUCAUCACAAAGAAGGACGACCCAGGCAUGCCGACCAUCACUUGCGAGAUCGGACCACAACUCUUCCACAAUGUCUUUUGCGACCUUCGAUUAAGCGUCAACAUCAUGUCCAAGGUAAUUUAUGAAAAUCUGUUAGGGGGCGCUUUGCUCCCUACCUUUAUGAGUUGCAGAUGGCGGACCAAACCAUUUGGUUCCUAGAUGGAGUCGCUAAGGACAUCUUGGUUAUAAUCCAAGAUGAAUAUGCCCCUGCCGAUUUCGUCAUCCUCGACAUGGGGUCAAACAUCGACGUCCCCGUCAUCCUAGGAUGGCCAUUCUUGAACACGGUGAAUGUCGUCAUCUACGUUAGAUCUAGCUAGAUCCAUCUACAGUUCGCAGGUAAGAGGAUCAAAUGUCCUUUCAAUGGCUAUAAAACUAACAUGCAGCUGAAGGACAUGAAACCGGACGAGAAACCUCGCGGCAAAUCCCACUGGAGGUACAACAAAGGCAAGUCAGCCAAAAGGCCAAAUAGAAGGAGGAACCCACCCAGCAAGUGGAACAUUCCAAAAAGGAAUGGUGGGAGAAGGAGAUGCCUACACGGUCCCCGUCUCUAGGACCAACCGAGGCGUCCACAGAAUGAAACCCGACAGAGAGGUCCUACUCUAUGGACCUAAAACAUGGAGCCCUCCGCUGACCAGGUAUGUCAGUAGUUAUCUCAUAUUUAUUUUUCUGCAUUUCAAUUUUGCUUUCCAAUUGCAUGCUUACUAAAAAUUAUUUACAUGUUUUUGCACGUUUAUUUUAUUUCAACCAAAUAACUUAGAUUUGAAUAACAAAACUUGAGAAGAGUGAUUAGAGAAAAGGUGAGCUGGUGGGGCCACCAUUGCCAGGUCAGCCGACCUGGCUUUGUGGGUCCACCACCUCUCCCUCCACUCAGGCUUGAAGUAAGAAUCCUAGGAGGGGCAUUGGAUACCCUGGGUGUCAAAAAGGAAGGUCGACCGACCUAGUCUUGGUGCCACUAGGCAUCCUGCUACCUCCCAAUGAUGAUGUCAAAGGAUCCCAUGCUCAACACACUAGCCAGAAUUUGAGGUGAGAUGGUCCAAUGCUCAUAACUUUAGCUGACGAUGCUACUUUAAGCACUUUGAUGCUUUAGGGAACAUUCUGUCGAGGGUAUCAGUGAGGGGUAUCCUAAUUGAUGUACAUAACGAGAUUGCCCGUAUGCAGGUCGAGGCCCUCAACUCGACGCUCUAAUCAGUCACAAUACAGUCAUCGACGACCGCAACCUCGAAGACGGAAAAGGCGUCGAGCGAAUCGAUUAGGGCUCGAGCGCCAACUACCGUCGAAUACGGAGACAGGCUCGAGCGAACCAGGAGGCGUCGAACGCAAGGACGCCGCCCGCCGCUUGACGCGCGCACGGGAACCAGGGCAUUUAAUGCGCCUAUCGCGUUCCCACCUAACAUGCCAAGUCACGGGAAGCGUGAUAGGGAACAGGCACCCGUCCCGUCAUUCUUUUUGCAGCCUUCCCCAACAAACAACCCAGAGCAUGUCCGGACGCGAGAAGCGGGGAUGGAACAUCUAAUCAAGACCUCCUCGAGACAUCCAAGGUCAACGCUCUAGAUAGCAAGGCGCUACACGGCGUCCGACCCUCGACCAGACAUGUUUCCUUCCUAGGGAAGGGUUGGGCGUCGAAUGACAACACUGCAACCACUCCGACGUAUCAGCCGCCAUGACGUACAGGCGUGCAACGGAUAAACCAGUCCAAGACGGCGCACAGAGCAGGAUAUGGGGCACGCGUAAUCAUCAUCAAGCUACCAGGAUGGGACGGCUCGAGACUACGCCGGUACGGAGGCCUCGAGUAGGUCCGCGCGCCAUACCUCUAUCGACCCCUACUGUGACGCCUAUACUUGUACCCUGGGCUUCUCCUUGGAACUAUAAAAGGGGAAGACCGAGAGCAAACUCAGGCAUCAAUCACGCAAGACUACACCCAUACGCAGUAGAACUCCCACACUCCAUCUCCUUCCAUACCACGCUUGUAUUCACUCCUGUACAAGCACUUAGGUGCAAAAUAAUACAAACUCUCCUCCCCCACUGGACGUAGGGCCUUCUCUUGCCCGAACCAGGAUAAAUCCUUGUGUCUUUUUGCAUCACCAUCUGGAAAAGGGAGCACGCAUACAAAUUCACUCGUUGGUGUGACCCCCCGUGGGGAAAACACUGACAGUUGGCGCGCCAGGUAGGGGUCCUGCGUGUUUUUUCAUCGAUUUCCCAUUCUUUUCCAGAUGGCCACUCUUUCUUCACCGAUUCCGCGCUCCACGGUGAUUUGGUUUGGGAGUCUCAAGUUCAUGUCUACUGGCUCCGGCUAUGACAUGAUCUUGCUCUCGAUCAAAGGACCGGGAGGAGGCCGCAUUGCGCCAACAUGGUUGAGGGUCCCGAGACACCCUCGCCACCACGCCUCUCCACCCAAGAAGAGGUGUGGACAGCGCCACCAUCGCCUAUCCACCGCGCCACGACCGACAGCUCGUGCCAGGCGGGAGGUGGCAUAGGAGCCGAUAGCACCGCGCGCCGAAUCCGUGGGUGUGACGGCUCAACGCCACGAGGAUUGCAUGACGACAGGAGGUGACGCGCCCCGCGCACUCUCCCCCACCGCCAGGCUACUUCCACACGGGCUGUUCGCCCCAAGAGGAGCGUUGCCGUUCGGUUUAGACAAUGCCGCAGCGUCGCUCGCCAGGGCGAUAUUCCCAAACGCCCAGACGUACGUGGAGAGACCAAUGGUCCUCCCACGUGACCCUGGAGCGCAGCAACCAACGUCCGAGCUAUCGGAUUUCUCCCAGGUACAAGGCCUCCGUCGCCUAGGCCCUGGGCGAUACACGAUCACCUCGCUCAGGCAGCGGCUGCUGGAGGAGGGACGUGGAUGUUUCUACGCUGCCAAGCCGGACUCCGACUCCGAGACCGAUAGCUACGACCCUACCAGGGAAUGCUAUCAUUUCGACGGGGUGGUAGAAACUACCAACGAGACGCAGGAUGCUGCCGCUGGCGGUCGAGCCCCUGCAACAAGGGAAGACCCCAGGACGCCUGGGAACGACGGACAGGUCGACCCACCACCGCAAGAAGACAGAGCCGCGCAACUUGCGCAGCUACGAGAGCUCAAGACAAAGCUUUACGAGGAUCGUGAGUGCCUCAUUCAGCUUGAACAGAUCCUCGAGCAGGACCUGCCUUAUCCGCCUGGCGGAAGUGUCCGCAGACGAGCUCGAGAGGUACACCGGUAGAUCAUCGGAGACGCAGAGCCUGAGCAGCCCGUCAGCAGUUUCCCUCAAGCAGGCCAGAAUGUUGUGGCAGCAACAAUGCUCCUGCGAAACAUGCCAGAGCCAUCGAACUCCCAAGCACGGCGCAUCCGAGACAAGGUGCAGACUCUGCUGCAAGUGGCGGCGGUUCAGCAGGUCCAAAGCUCGGCUUCGCGACGUCGAGGAGCGGCCACUGAAAAGCACGAUGAGCCAGCCCAAAAGAAAAAGGAGGUAUCGGUCCAUCAACAGCCACCCCCUCGAGGGAAAAAGACCACGCUCGUCCUCCCUGUCGACAACCAACGUCGACACGACGCACGACGCGACAUCUAGGAUAAUCGAAACCGUCGGUGUGGGGAUGCGGAGGAGCACGGUUACAGUGCUCACCGCGGCGGAAGGUACGACAGCGACGAGGACCGGAUGGCCCCGGAACCACCGGGCCCAAAGGUGUUCAGCAGGGCGAUCCGCACCACGCAGUUGCCCAGCCCGUUCCGGCCUCCGACCAGCAUCACAAAAUACAACGGUGAGACCAAGCGAGAGCUGUGGCUGGUAGAUUUCAGGCUGGCCUAUCAGCUAGGAGGCGCUCGAGGGGACGAUCGGGCCAUCAUCAGACAGCUGCCGCUCUUCCUCUCCGACACCGCCCGCAGGUGGCUCGAGGAGCUCCCGGCCAACUAGAUCUACGACUGGGUCGAUUUGGUCAGGGUGUUCGAGGGCAACUUCAAGGGAACCUACAUUAGACCCGGCAACUCGUGGGACCUUAGCAAAUGCAAGCAGAGGUCGGGAGAAACCCUCCGAGAGUACGCUCGACGCUUCUCGAAGAAACGCACCGAGCUGCCGCACAUCCCCGACCACGACGUCAUCUUGGCCUUUGUCUCAGGCACCACCAGUCAAGACUUGGUGCGGGAAUUAGGCCGGAAUCGCCCCCAGACCGUCGACGAGCUGAUGGACGUAGUGGCGAACUACGCGGCGGGGGAAGAAGCGGUCGGCGCCUUCUUCAGCUGUGAAGGAAGGAAAGGCAAGCAGCUCGUCGAUGAUGACGAGGGCCCCAGUCGAGGCCCCAAGAAGAACAAGAAGAAGAAGAAGAAGACGCGGCCUUUCCAGCAGGAGGACCUCGGCGACGAUUUCGUCGCCGCCCUGGAGCGCAAAAGGCCUCGAGGCCCUCCAAAGGUGGGCAUCUUCGAUAAGAUGCUAAAGGAGCCAUGCCCUUACCAUAAGGGAGGAGCCAACCACAAGCUCGAGGACUGUCGUAUGCUGAAGAAGCAUUUCGAUGGUCUGGGUUCAAGAAGGACACUCGCGACGAUCAAAAGAAAGAGAAAAGCAGCGACAAAGGGGACGACAAAGACGACGAUGGCUUCCCUGCCGUCCAUGACUGCUACAUGAUCUACGGAGGUCCCUCGACGCAGCUGACCGCAAGGCAACGCAAGAGGGAACGCCGUGAGGUUUUUGUGGCAAGGAUGGCGGUGCCCCAGUACCUCAGCUGGUCGAGCACCCCCAUCACCUUCGACCGACACGACUGUUGAUAUUUGGUAACGCAAUAAGGAAAUGAUCCGCAAGCGCACGGAUAUCGGUGAGCAUUUCACCCGGGAGGUUAUCCAGAGUUAUCGUAUUUAUAUUUUUACCACUAGGAGAAAGGGUGCAUCUGACUAACCAAAUCUAUUGCUACUAUCCCUUUAGGCACAAAGAAUGUCUUUCGAUGUGAGUGAUAAAUAGAGAAGACUGCAGCCGUAGUCUCCUUCUAACCUUGGUAAGGAUGAUCUACUGUUCUAAUGGGGAGGCUAACGGAAUCUAGACACCACAAAGGAUGUUCAACCCGCACGUAUAAACCCUAUCCUUCCUGCUAACGAGAUGUGAUCUACAAAGGUAGCUCGGAAAUGUCACGUUCCUCACUACUACCACGGUCCAGCUAGUCAGGGAAUAUCUAUGAGUACCCCAGCCUAAACACCACGUUUACGCCAGCAAUGAUUACUCUAAACUCUACGCGAAGAGAUUAAAGUAAACUCAUAAACCAUAAGAACAAUAAAACAAGAACUUACUAGAAUUUAGAAGUCGAAUUACUGAAGAAUCCUAGGAGCAAGCUUCGGGUUAGGAGAACUUCAUCCCGCAGGUACAAGCUUGGAGUAGACACCGACAGGCCGGGCUUCCUCCACUCUACACCUCCACUCUAUCUCUCUCAAUCUAGUAGAAACUAGAAGAUCUAUUUCUACCUUACAUUGAUUGCUAAGCCUAAAAAGAAAUAUUAAUUAGAGAAGAGGUUUUCCUUCGAGGGCACCCCUCAGUCUCUAUGAUAAUUUCUUCAUGUCUUCUCCAGGGGACAGGUGGGCCUUGCUUAUAUAGUCCUCCCCUUCUAUGCGUUUUUGGGUCGAUAGGCGAGGUGGUACUAUGUUUUCUUGAUCCAAUAGGUCGGUGGAAUAUCCCGAGCGAAGGAGUCCUGAAUUGACUCCAGCAAGGGGGCGGGCGCCCAGGCUACCAGGGCGGGCGCCCUGGGCCUGGCCCAGCUUCGCCUCCGCUUCGGUCUCGUGGCUUCUGGAGUCUUCUAGAUGAUGUAAAAUUACGCGGUGCGUUGAUAUCUCUAUGUAAUCCCGACAUGUGGGCCUUUCUUCCUUAUUUCCUGAUAACCCCCUGCAGAAAUAGAUAAACAACAAAACUCGUGGAAUUCUGUCAGAUCAAACCCUAAUUCUAGGUGAUGGUUGCAUAUUGGUCCUUUCUCAUGUUUAUUUGAUAAUUAAAAUUGAUACUUAAGAACCGUCAACAAAUACCCCCAUACUUAGGCUUUUACUCGUCCUCGAGAAAAGGAUGGUUAAGAAUAAUAUCUAGGGUAAACAUUUAAAACAUUCUCUUUAUAAUUGCAGGGUGUUAAAAAUUUCACUGUGUACCAUAGUCAGGGAUGUGUAUGGUUAAGUGUAAAGAUUCUUUCUUUUCAAUCCUGUCACUUGGAGUUUUUGUAUAUUUUUGAAAGAAAGUUAGCAUACCUUUUUGAUCCUCAUAGGUUCUCUCAGAUCACUCAUUAUCUUUUAUAUAUAUAUAUCUCACUGAGGCUGUUUUAUUUUGCAAAAAUUCUCAAGCAUACUUACUUUGGAUUUAUUGCCUGAUCAAAACGGGAUCCGAGGAGGGAAAUGUCAUACUCUUAGAUCAAAGACUUUGGAAAUUAAAAACUUUGUCAACUCUUGCUGGCAUAUUGCUUAUUAGAGGGACCAUGGGCUAUCAUUUUUUUUUCUCUUUUUUUUUAAGUGGAUACCGAGGUACCCCUAAUUCUACUGCCGGACACUUGUCCAUUUUUUCUGCGAGGUUGUCGAGCACUUGCUCCUUUUUAUUUCCUCGAAAUAUCUUCUAUUUUUGCAUAGCCCAUGCCUCUAAUGCAAUAAUACUUCGGAAGAGUGAAUCUUUCUGAAAUAAUGUCUUGAUCUUAGGAGCAUGAUAAAUCUCUCAACAAGGGUCUAACUCAUUUUGAACAAACUCAAUACAGAGCAGAUAGCUUUUGUAAUCAUAUUUAAUAUUUCAGUUUUAUCAGGCAUAUAAAACACUGAGGAUGGUAGCUAGGAAUUUGAACAUUUUGAAAUAAAUUCUCCAAGCAACAAUGAUAUCAAGAAUAAGAAACUCAUACUCUACCAUCACAUAUUCCAUCUUGACUUAAGUAACACAGGGUUUUAAAAAAUUAUUUUAUACUAAUUGCAAGUUUUCAGGAAAUAUCACAAAUUGAGAUUAAUCAUGAUUAGAAAUAUUUUAAUCUUUUUAUUUUAUCAUGUCGGGAACAAUAUUCUGCAUAAUCUAAAAUAUAUAUAUGUGUAAAGUAAAGUGUGCAGAGUGUGUACCUGAAUCAUGGAGUGGUGUAGUCGGAGUGUGUUUAGCAUGUCGAGGGAUCUCCCCCAUACUUGUUUUCUGCUUUCUUGCACAAAAAUAAAGUAGAGACACACAAGACAUAAUAAUAAUACUCUUUAUUGAUCUUGAGGCAUUUAUUACACAAGGAAGAACAAAAUUAUUUUUGGCUAUUCUCUCCCGGAUUAGGAGUAGAAUAUUUUUGGGUGAUUCAGAAGAUGGAAAUGUAUGGAUAUAUGUGGAUGGUACUUCCGGAGUAGAAGUAGCAUGUGUGAGUGAACGUGCAAGUGAAUCUUGAUUUAAUGACAAGCUCCUAAGGGUCUAAACAGCUUGACCACACUCAAUGCUCAUAAGCAAUAAGUAAAUGUGUGGCUCGAAGUCUAGCAAGCAUGUAUAUAUGGCUGUGGUAGGAAUUUAAACUCUCAUCAUACAGGAACUCAUCAUGCAACAUUUUAAAGAUUUCCAAAGAUAAAAUUCUCCAGAAUUCUAGCAUCUCUAGAAACAGACAAACAGCAGCUCAACCUUCCCAUAUCGUAUCCAUUAACAACUUAGAUUUCAGAUCAAGUUUUCAUCCCACAAGUUUAGGUCUAGAGCAAGCUUUAAAUUAUAACAGUUAUGUCUAAACUUGAGAGAGAACUUAAAAUGUGCAAAUUAGGUAGAGCAACUAUUCAUUAUUUCCAUGCUUGAGUUUUAUUUAGAUACCGAUUAGCAUAGCCACUUUAUUUAUUAAUUAAACACACUAAGCAAAAGACAUAUAUAUAUAAGCAUAAAAUCUUUAUUUGGUUUUUCAUAGUUAUGUAUAUUUAUAUUCUAAAAUAAUAUAAGUAUAAAGAUAGAUAGAAAUACUUAUCGAGAUAAAUGGGGGUGCUCUCCCCCAAGCUGAAUUUUGACGUAAUUUCUCUUGAUGUAGCUAGCAGGUGGCAGAGGUGUAUUUGAAAGUCAGCAGCAUUGUGACAGCGAUUAGAAUAUCCUCCGUCUGCCAGUCUUCUUGAUUCUUAGAUUCUCUUGGCAAGACGUUCGGUGUUUUUAAGUCCUCCGAACGGGACUCUCCUCUUUCUCAAUUAUCCUGAGGUUCGUUGGGUGGCGUAGUCGGUACUUCCGGCAGCGCCUCCUCUUCAUGUAUAGUUAUCUUCAUUUUCCACACCUGACUUGGUGCUUCGGCCUCCUCUUGGAUAAUUCUGUUUAAACUCAACGUCUUCUGAUCUUACAACUUUUCCUUCGUAGUCUGCCCAUCCGUCCUUGAUGAUUUUCCUCCUCUGGUUGCGGUUGCGUCGUCUUCUUCUUGUCCUGACCUGCUUAGAAUCUUCAACUAUGUAGUUAGAAUCAUUAAAGUAAUGGCGUACCUUCUCAGAGGGGAAAUACACGUGGACUUCUCCGGUUCCAAUGUAGAUGAUAACUUGGAUAGUGUUGAGGAAUGGUCUUCCAAGGAUGAUGGGUGGAUCGUACUCGUCUUCUCCCAUAUCAAUGUUCUGAAAAUCAUUUGGAGCUAAAUAUAUAUUGGUUGUAGGGGCAUGGUUCCAUGCAGGAGCUGAUAAGUGACUGCGGCCAUUAUGUUGACGUUAGAUCCGGUGUCGUAGAGUGUUUUCUAAAAAGAGUAUCUAUUGGUUGUGCACUCGAUGAUUGGAACACCAGGGUCGUCCUUCUUGAUCAAGAAAGGUGACUUGAGUCGACGAUCUUGACCUCCUUGAGCUGUAGUGACCAUCUUAGCUGACUCGGUCCACAUUUGCUUGUUCCUGUUCCUCCUGUUGGUCCUCUUCCUUGGUUCAUGUCGGGAUUGCUCUGAAGUUUAUGUAGUCUUGUUCUUGAAGGAAAGUCUCCUUCUUCCCCUUGAUGUAGAGAUUGAUCUUGGUAGCAUUAGCGUAGAUGACAACUCUGGUGUUUAGGAAUGGCCUCCCUAAGAUGAUGGGUGCCCUCUCCUCAGUACCAGUCUCUACCACCACGAAGUUUGCUGGAGCGUACAAGGUACCAACUUGGACACAGAGGUUCUUUAAUAUUUCCUUUGGGAAACUAAGAGUCUGAUCUCCAUUGUGUUUGUGCUCGUAGAUCCCGGUUCUUCACUUAAUGGAAUCUGGGAGUUGUAAAACGCCUUCACGUUUCUCAAAAUGUGUCCUGCUCAUAGAGACAAGGCAGAGAUCAAGUGCAUGGGCUCUAUUGGUGGAAAACACCAACAGAACCAAAAGUGUAUUUGUUCUUUUCUAACCUUAAGCAUAGUGAGCAAGACAAAGUUGAUGAAUCAUGAGUGUAGCAUUUAAAACAUUUGUUAGAUCAGAUGGCUCAACCUAAUGGAAAGAUAAUCUAUCUAUAUUUAUGUUUUGUUUUUAUCUUCCAAAGAUUGAAUGUGCAACAUAUUAGCUUAUAUGUUUAGGAGCGUGGGAUUACGAAGGUAGUACUAAGAACAAAGAUUAAGGGACUAAACAUGUUGAAUCAGUUAGGUUGGUUAAUUUAGAGUUAUAAAUCAUACAUGUUUGUCUCUUUAUUUAUGUGAAUGCCAGAACCAAGGAGAAACUUAUAAAAGGAUAGUCAAGUACCUUAAGAUGUUACCUUUGAAGAGUGAUGGUACAGUAUCACCUUGAAGCUUUCCUUUCUAGCGGUUGUGCAUCGUGUUUGUGGCUCCCUCCAUGGAUCAUCUCUUAUGAGCUACGUCUUUCUUGUGCAAAUUGUUAAACUUCAUGUGUCACUUUCUUUAUCUCCAUUGUGAGUUUAUCUCAGGACUUCCCAGGUUGAUAUUGAAAGUUUUCCUGCAGGGGUUAGUCGCACAAAAUAUACCAAUGUCUACACAAGCAAUUUUUAGUUCGAUAACCGAACUAGACUCCAUGUCUAAUCAGAUUAAGGAAGGCUGUUUAACCUAAGCACCAUGCUUAAUUUGAAAGCCAAUAGAAGUAUGUGCAGUACUUCCAAACUAACACUUACUAGGAUAAACAAAGGUAGCGUGAUGGCAUUUAUAGAGAUCUACUUAAGUGGAGAUUUCGUAGUGUGAUUAGUAUUUAACAAAUUGAGCAUGUCUCAAAGGUAAGGACAACCAACAUAGCAACAUGGCAAAGGAUGUUUUUAUGUGAAGUACUCCCCUAAGCUUGAAUUUUGCAAAAUUCAAGAUUGGAUGAAUUUAAUUCAAUGUUGCAUGUUGAUUGGUUGGGCAUACCUUGCGCUUGUCAUUCAUCCGGUCUUCUUGCUCCAAUCCUAGAAAGGUUAGUGACAAGAAUACCCGAAGGAAUAUUUCUACAAUUAUCUAUAUGCUCAAUACACAAGGUAAUGUUGCAAGUAAUUUAGAAGUUCUUGUUACGAUCUGAUAAGUGCUUGUUUUAGGACACUAAGCUUGUCCUUGGGAAACCAUCAAUUAACUCGACGAGAUCUGCAAUAUUUAUUAUAAACAUAUGCAUCGACAACCGCUCUUUUAAAGUUUUUAUAAAUAGAAAAGAAAAGAGGGUUGGAGAUCUCAAAUGUGGUGAUAGCACAUGAAUUUUUAAUGCCCUCUAGCCAUUAAUGUUGCUCUUCUCGAUCCUCCUUAUGCAUGGGAUGUCUAGAGAGAUUCAUAGGAUUAUCGGGAGGUUCAAGAGAAAGAGCAUAGUAGAGAUUAUUAGGCUCAAGGAUGGGUUGGAUAGCCGAAUCAUGGGAUUGGAAAGUUUGGAAAUCGGCUAUUGAAACUUCCUCUCCUUGUAUGGGAGAUGAUUCCUUCUCUAUCUCUAUGAUUUUUCUAUGAAGACUAGUACAAGAAGGAUGUCCACGAAUGAAGACAUACCUUCCGUUACUAACUGAUAAAGAAAGAAAGACUCUACCAAAGGUUAUAUGAUUAAGACCAAUGUGAAAAUAUCUAGGAAAAACAUGGUCUUGUAGGGCUAGGUCUAAACCAGAAUUUAUAGAAAAAUUAAAAGAUUCCCUAGGUGUAGCUAAAAGUGCAUUAUCUUUUUGAUUAAAAGAUAGGACCUCAGCUAUAGAAAAGGGUUGGUUUUGACCUAUUGCAAUCAACUCCGGACACAGAUCAUAACUAGGGGCAGGACGUGUUGACUCUCAUGGUCUAUGGCUGGUCUCCGAAGGUGCAAAGAAUUUAAUAAUAGUUAUGGAAUUUAAGAUAUCCAUAAAGAUAAAAAGAUAAAAGAAUAAAAGUAUAAAAGUAUAAUACAAGAUAAUAGCAAGACUCAAAGUUAUCUCAGCAAACCGUCUUUCUCCCCGGCAACGGCGCCAGAAAUGCUUGUUGAUAUUUGGUAACGCAAUAAGGAAAUGAUCCGCAAGCGCACGGAUAUCGGUGAGCAUUUCACCCGGGUGGUUAUCCAGAGUUAUCGUAUUUAUAUUUUUACCACUGGGAGAAAGGGUGCAUCUGACUAACCAAAUCUAUUGCUACUAUCCCUUUAGGCACAAAGAAUGUCUUUCAAUGUGAGUGAUAAAUAGAGAAGACUGCAGCCGUAGUCUCCUUCUAACCUUGGUAAGGAUGAUCUACUGUUCUAAUGGGGAGGCUAACGGAAUCUAGACACCACAAAGGAUGUUCAACCCGCACCUAUAAACCCUAUCCUUCCUGCUAACGAGAUGUGAUCUACAAAGGUAGCUCGGAAAUGUCACGUUCCUCACUACUACCACGGUCCAGCUAGUCAGGGAAUAUCUAUGAGUACCCCAGCCUAAACACCACGUUUACGCCAGCAAUGAUUACUCUAAACUCUACGCGAAGAGAUUAAAGUAAACUCAUAAACCAUAAGAACAAUAAAACAAGAACUUACUAGAAUUUAGAAGUCGAAUUACUGAAGAAUCCUAGGAGCAAGCUUCGGGUUAGGAGAACUUGAUCCCGCAGGUACAAGCUUGGAGUAGACACCGACAGGCCGGGCUUCCUCCACUCUACACCUCCACUCUAUCUCUCUCAAUCUAGUAGAAACUAGAAGAUCUAUUUCUACCUUACAUUGAUUGCUAAGCCUAAAAAGAAAUAUUAAUUAGAGAAGAGGUUUUCCCUCGAGGGCACCCCUCAGUCUCUAUGAUAAUUUCUUCAUGUCUUCUCCAGGGGCCAGGGGGGCCUUGCUUAUAUAGUCCUCCCCUUCUAUGCGUUUUUGGGUCGAUAGGCGAGGUGGUACUAUGUUUUUCUUGAUCCAAUAGGUCGGUGGAAUAUCCCGAGCGAAGGAGUCCUGAAUUGACUCCAGCAGGGGGGCGGGCGCCCAGGCUACCAGGGCGGGCGCCCUGGGCCUGGCCCAGCUUCGCCUCCGCUUCGGUCUCGUGGCUUCUGGAGUCUUCUAGAUGAUGUAAAAUUACGCGGUGCGUUGAUAUCUCUAUGUAAUCCCGACAUGUGGGCCUUUCUUUCUUAUUUCCUGAUAACCCCCUGCAGAAAUAGAUAAACAACAAAACUCGUGGAAUUCUGUCAGAUCAAACCCUAAUUCUAGGUGAUGGUUGCAUAUUGGUCCUUUCUCAUGUUUAUUUGAUAAUUAAAAUUGAUACUUAAGAACCAUCAACAACUACCACCCCGACAAGGUAGUCGCCCCUGGCGUCUACCCGCUCGUCGUCGACCCCAUCAUCGUCAACGCCAGGCUCUCAAAGGUGUUGAUGGACGGCGGCAGCAGCCUCAACAUCAUCUACCUCGAGACCCUCGACCUCCUCAGCAUCAAAAGGUCGCAGCUCCAACCAAGCACUGGAGGCUUCCACGGCGUCGUUCCUGGGAAGAUGGCGUUACAGGUAGGUCGAAUCGACCUACCGGUCUGCUUUGGCAUGGCGGCCAAUUUUAGGAAGGAGAUCCUCACCUUUGAGGUGGUGGGGUUCCGAGGCACAUACCACGCCAUUAUCGGACGCCCUGGCUUCGCCAAAUUCAUGGCGAUUCCCAACUACACGUACCUAAAGCUGAAGAUGCCCGGGCCCAAGGGCGUCAUCACCGUCAGCUCCUCCUACGAGCAAGCGUAAGAGUGCGACGUCGAAUGCGUCGAGUACGGCGAAGCACUCGAGGGUUCCGCCGAGCUCGCCUCAAAGCUCAAGGCCCUGGCUGCAGAGGCCCCAGAGCCCAAACACCAUGCGGGCAGCUUCGAGCUGGCAGAAGGAACCAAGAAGAUCCCGCUCGACCCCAACAACUCCCACGGUAAGGCGCUGACGAUCAGCGCCGACCUCGACCCCAAAUAGGAAGCUGUGCUCGUCGACUUUCUCCGUGCAAACACUGACAUGUUUGCAUGGAGUCCCUCGGACAUGCCUGGCAUACCGAGGGAAGUCGUCAAGCACUCCUUGGAAAUUCGAGCCGGUUCCAAGCCAGUGAAGCAACGGUUGCACCGAUUCGACGAGGAGAAGCGCAAGAUCAUUGGCGAGGAGAUCCAAAAGCUUUUGAUGGCCAGAUUCAUCAAGGAUUUUCACCAUCCCGUCUGGUUAGCAAACCCUGUACUAGUUAAGAAUAAGAAUGGAAAAAUGAGGAUGUGUGUCGAUUAUACAAGUUUAAAUAAAGCAUGUCCGAAAGUUCCUUUUCCAUUACCACGUAUUGAUCAAAUUGUCGAUUCUACUGCGGGAUGUGAAACCCUUUCUUUCCUCGAUGCAUAUUAUGGCUACCACCAAAUAAAAAUGAAAGAGUCCGAUCAGCUCGCGACAUCUUUCAUCACACCUUUCGGGAUGUAUUGUUAUGUAACCAUGCCGUUCGGGCUUCGAAACGCGGGGGCUACGUUCCAGCGAUGCAUGCUCCACGUGUUUGGCAAGCACAUAGGGUCGACGGUUGAAGCCUAUGUCGACGACAUCGUCGUCAUGUCAAAGCAGCGGGGAGACCUGAUCCAGGACCACGAGAUUGCUUUUAGCUGCUUACGCGCCAACCAGAUCAAGCUCAACCCUGAGAAGUGCAUUUUCGUCGUGCCUCGAGGCAUGCUCCUGGGUUACAUCGUUUCCCAGCGCGGCAUCGAGGCCAACCCCGAGAAUGUCUCAGCCAUCACAAGAUGGGGCCGAUCCGAGACAUCAAGGGCAUGUAGGGAGUCACAGGAUGCCUAGCGGCGCUGAGUCGUUUUAUCUCGAGGUUGGGAGAAAAGGCGUUGCCACUGUAUCGACUUCUGAAGAAAGUCGAGCGCUUCUCUUGGACCCCAGAGGCUGAGGAAGCACUCGAUAACUUGAAGAAAACUCUGACCUCUGCACUAGUGCUAGUCCCGCCUCAACCCGCAGAACCUCUGCUUCUAUACGUCGCAUCGACGACCCAGGUCGUCAGUGCAGCAGUAGUGGUCGAGAGGCAGGAGGAGGGGCAUGCACUGCCAGUCCAGAGGCUGGUCUAUUUAUUCAGCGAAGUACUCUCAGAGACCAAGGCGCAUUACCCGCAGAUCUAGAAGCUAAUCUACGCCGUAAUCCUCGCCCGACGCAAGCUGCAGCACUACUUCCUCGGCCACCCUAUCACGGUGCUCUCGUCUUUCCCCUUGGGCGAGAUCAUCCAAAGUCGGGAGGCCACGGGAAGAAUCGCCAAGUGGUCAGUCGAGCUCAUGAGUGUUGACGGUCCUUAAUGCUCAUAUUUAACCAUCAAUUAAUCAUAGAAAAGGAUCCAAAUGCAACCAACACCUAGACUUAGGGUUUUAUCCGACAGAAUUCCACAAGUUUUGGUGUUUGUCUAUUUCUGCAGGGGGUUAUCAGGAAAUACGGAAUAAAGGCCCACACGUCGGGUUUACAUAGAGAUAUUAACGUGCCGCACAAUUUUCUACCAUCUAGAAGACUCCAGAAGCCACGGGAACGAACGGGAGGCCGAUCGGGCUCGGAGGCAGGGCGCCCGCCCAACUCUCCUGGGCGCCCGGCCAGCUACAGUGUCCAAUUCGGACCCGUUUCGCGUAUUAUGCUCCACCGACCUAAAGGAUCAAGGAAAAUCGUGCGAUCAAUGUCGGUUUGAUCCGACGGCCCAGAUUCACUUGAAGGGACUAUAAAACCAGACCCCCUUGGCCCCUGGAGAUCAUACCUCUUCUACAGAAUCAAAGCUAGGGUUUCAAUUCUUCAUCCAAGUAGAGAGGAUCUGAUGCGUCACGUUGUCCCGAUCUUCACGACGUAGGAAGAACAUCGAUAACUAGCUGAAGAACAGCCGGAUAAGUUGCUGCAAGCAGCGAUAACUAGUGCAACCUGGCAAAUAAAACUCGAAGCCAACCACCGUCUUUAACCGGCAACCUGAAUCGAGGAUUCGCCCAACCACACUCUCAAGGAACCAACCAACACAGCCUACAAUCAAUCAAGGAAUACCUUGAAGGGAGUAGGAGCACCAAUUGGGAGCGGAUGAAGCCACCGCCUAUGUAAUCCCGCGAGGAAAUCACAAGAGCAAAGGGGUAGAGAUCACUCUCUGGAUUUGUUAGCACGCAGCUGAACAAAGGGGUUCUGUAUUUCAAUUAUCAAAGUCUUAGAUUACAAUGAGUCUUAGGUGGUAUUUAUACUAGCAACAGCCCUGCUAGAUAGGUAUGAAAACGAAAUAGAGUUUCUGAGGGAAGUCAAUGUGAAAGGUCCGCUCGAAAUGGAUUCCCGAAGUGGCUUCGCGUGACUGUUGGCCUCCAGAGCAGUUUCUAAUAAACUGACCAUAACUUUUUAUUGGGAAGUCCAAAUGAUGAACCGUUUCUUGGGUGUGAAACUAGACUCAAAGGGCUUUCCACCAAUGUAUGCGUACCAGCACGAAACAUUGUAGAUUGGUACAGUUUUACUUGGCAAUUUGUACCAACAUUCUGUCACGACAGACUGUUGACCUUCUGAGCAGUCUGUACUAAUUCUGGUCUGCAGGCAAUAUGGAGUAUCCAAACUGGUCGCCACUAGAUUCAUUGGAAAGUAGACUCGUCAAGCUUUCCAACAAAUGCUCAUGGACCUUCAUAGCUUUUGUGAGCAAAAAGUUAUGAAGAUUCUUUGCACUGGUCCGUUUUUGACUUCCACUGGUCCGUUUUUGACUUCUUCUGGAACUUGCACUGGUCCGUUCUUCAUGGUCCGAUUCUUCCUUCUCUUCUUCUAUAUACCUGAGUACAAUCAAGGUACAACACUUAGGUAGUAUAUAAUUAUCAUUAAUGUUAAAAUGAAUCUCACAAAGUAGCACGUGGACCUCUUGUUGUAGCUUCUUUGCACGACUACGUGUAAUCGGUCCAUCGAUGACUUGAGCUGGUGUCGGUGUAGGUGAAACUUGAGUUGGUGUAGCUUGACUUGGAGCUUGUGACAUCUUGCUUGGUGGCGUGGUCAUAUCAUCCUCCCCCCCUUGAAAAGGAGUCGUCCUCGACUCUAAAGUGUCUUCACUUGUGAAUGGUGAGAGAUCAGCAACAUUGAAUGAGUUGCUCACGCCAUAACUUGCAGGAAGAUCAAUCUUGUAUGCAUUGUCAUUGAUCUUCUCAAGAACACGAAAUGGACCAUCUCCUCGUGGCAGCAAUUUUGAUUUGCGCUGUUGAGGAAAGCGAUCCUUGCGCAAGUGUAUCCACACCAAGUCCCCGGGUUCAAAUAACACCUUCUUCCUAUGUUUGUUCAUACUUGCAACCUUGCGUCCUGCCUUGAGUUCAAUUGCUUCCUUGGUCUUCUCGUGUAUCUUCUUGAUGUAUGCAGCACGCUUGGAGGCUUCCAUAUUGGUUCUUUCCUGCAAUGGAAGGGGCAACAAAUCUAUCAGAGCAAUAGGUUUGAACCCAUAUACAAUUUCAAAAGGACACAUAUUAGUGGUAGAGUGUACUGCCCUGUUAUAUGUAAACUCCACAUGUGGCAAACAUUCCUCCCAAACCUUCAGGUUCUUUUUCAUCAUAGUUCGCAGCAACAUUGACAAUGUGCGAUUCACCACUUCAGUUUGUCCAUCGGUUUGAGGGUGACAAGUGGUGGAGAACAAAAGCUUGGUUCCGAGCUUUGCCCAUAACGUUUUCCAAAAAUAGCUCACAAACUUGACAUCACGAUCAGAUACAAUGGUUCUAGGCAUUCCAUGCAGCCGCACAAUUUCCCUGAAGAACAAAUUAGCAAUAUGCGAAGCAUCGUCGCUCUUGUUACAAGGAAUAAAAUGAGCCAUCUUUGAAAAUCUAUCAACCACAACAUAAAUUGAAUCUUUUCCUUUCUGAGUUCUAGGCAACCCCAAGACAAAAUCCAUGCUUAUGUCUUCCCAAGGAGUUUUAGGAGUAGGUAAAGGAGUAUAUAAACCAUGAGGGUUCAGUUUAGACUUAGCUUUGUGACAGGUAACGCAUCGCUCCAUGAAUCUGAUGACAUCUCUUCUCAUCUUGGGCCAAUAAAAAUGAUCUUCUAGCAGCUCAUAGGUUUUUCUUUGUCCAAAAUGGCCUGUCAAUCCUCCCCCAUGAGACUCCUGCAACAAAAGCAAUCUAACCGAAGAAUUUGGAACACAGAUUUUGUUAGCUCUAAACAAAAAUCCAUCAUGUAUAUGAUACUUUUCCCAACCUUUUCUAUUUUUACAAUGAUUAUAUGGUUCUGAAAAUUCAGGGUCAUUACUGUACAGUUCUUUCAAACUUUCAAGUCCCAAAACCUUUACCUCAAGUUGGUUUAGCAACACACUCUUUCGUGACAGAGCAUCAGCAACAACAUUAUCCUUACCUUUCUUAUAUUUCACAAUGUAUGGAAAUGUUUCGAUGAACUCAACCCAUUUGGCAUGACGACGGUUCAGUUUUGCUUGUCCUUUCAAGUACUUCAAAGCUUCAUGAUCAGAGUGAAUAACAAAUUCUUUUGGCCAUAAGUAGUGCUGCCAUGUUUCAAGCACACGCACCAAAGCAUAUAAUUCUUUAUCAUACACAGAAUAAUUCAGUUGAGCACCUCCUAGUUUUUCACUAAAAUAUGCUACAGGUUUUCCUUGUUGCAUUAAAACUCCUCCUAUCCCAAUUCCACUAGCAUCACAUUCUAUUUCAAAAGUUUUAGUGAAAUCAGGAAGAACAAGUACAGGUGCUUCAGUCAAACGUUUCUUUAAUUCUUGAAAUGCAUUUUGUUGUGAUUUUUCCCAUUUAAAGUCAACACCUUUCUUUGUCAAUUCAUUCAAAGGAGCAGCGAUGGUACUGAAAUCUCUCACAAACCUUCUAUAAAAACCAGUAAGGCCAUGAAAACUUCUUACUUGACUUACAUUUGUUGGAGUUGGCCAAUCCUUGAUGGCUUUCACCUUGCUUUCAUCCACUUCUAUGCCCUUUCCUGAUACAACAAAGCCAAGAAACACAACAUGGUCUGUGCAAAAACUGCACUUCUCAAGAUUAGCAAAUAAUUUCUCCUUUCUAAGCUCUUCCAAGACUUGCCGAAUAUGAUUCACAUGUUCCUCAAAAGACUUGCUGUAAGUUAAGAUAUCAUCGAAGUAGACAACAACAAAUUUUCCAAUGAAAGCUCUCAAGACAUGGUUCAUUAAUCUCAUGAAGGUACUAGGAGCAUUAGUCAAACCAAAAGGCAUAACUAACCAUUCAUACAGCCCAAAUUUUGUUUUAAAUGCAGUUUUCCAUUCAUCCCCUGUUUUCAUUCUUAUUUGAUGGUAUCCACUUCUCAAAUCAAUUUUAGUGAAUAUGUUGGAACCACUUAAUUCAUCAAGCAUGUCAUCUAAACGUGGGAUAGGAUGGCGAUAGCGAACAGUGAUGUUAUUUAUAGCUCUACAAUCAACACACAUUCUCCAAGAACCAUCUUUCUUAGGUACUGAAAUUACAGGAACAGCACAAGGACUUAAACUUUCACGAACAAAACCUUUAUCAAGAAGUUCUUGCACUUGCCUUUAUAUCUCCUUUGUUUCUUCUGGAUUGGUUCGGUAUGGUGGUCGAUUAGGUAGUGCAGCCCCUGGAAUGAGAUCAAUUUGAUGCUCAAUCCCACGAAUUGGAGGUAGUCCCGCCGGUGUUUCUUCUGGAAAAACAUCUCCAUAGUCCUGCAAAAGAUGAGACACAACACUAGGAAGAGAGGUCAUGUCGUUAGCUGAAAUUAAAAUGUCUUUGUAUACAAGUACAAAGAGCACUUGUUCGGGGUUGUUCCUCACUUCUCUCAUUUCAGAUUUUGUGGCUAGCAUGACUAAAUUCUCUCCCUCUCCUUUCUUUUUCUCCCUCAAAUUUGGCUUGUGGCACUCACUCACCGAAUUGUGGAUGGCACUCAGUUUCUUUUGCUCUCCUUCCUCUCUACUCACUCGAACAAUUUCAGAUUUCUUUUGUAAAUGUUCAGCCAUGAUUUGUUGGGGUGUCAUAGGCUUGAGAACAAACUUCUUUCCCGUUAGAUUGAUAGUAAACUGAUUUGUUCUCCCACAAUGUUGGCUAUAUCGAUCAUAUUGCCAUGGCCUUCCAAGCAGCAAGUGACACACCGACAUGGGCGCCACAUCACACUCUACUGUGUCAACAUAUUCACCAAUCUUGAAUGGAAUGUUUACUUUAUAUCCAAUCUUGAUAUCUCCCGAAUCAUUCAGCCACUGUAUAUGAUAUGGAUGAGGGUGUCGUAGCAGCUUCAGGCCAAGUUUAUCAGCCAUCUCACGACUAGCAAGAUUAUGGCAGCUCCCUCCAUCAAUAAUCACCUUCACCACCUUAUCAUGUACCUUUGCUCUGGUUUCAAAUAAAUUAUGUCGCUGCCCAUUUUCAGCUUCUUUCAUUUGAACACUCAAGAUUUGAGUCACCACAAGAGCAGCACCAUGCUCAAAUUCACAGCCAGUAUGUUCCUCAUCUUCAUGGGCUUCACCAACAUGUUCUUCCUCAGCUUCCUCUUCACUAGCUGAUUCUAAUUCUCCACUAUCAUUCACAAUGACCACACGAUUAUUUGGACACUCUCUUGAUACAUGUCCACAGCCUCCACACUUGAAGCACUGAAUUCCACUACUCUUGGAAGUGGAACCCACUGAAGUAGUGUUUGAUGCUGCUGGUUUUGAACUUGGGACAGCAGUGUUCUUUCCACUAAAAGUACCCUGAAAAUUAGAUCGUGAGCCUCCACUUGAGCCUUUCACCAGGGAUGGUUCAGCAGAAAACUUGGUGAUUGAUUUGCUUCCUCCAGAGAUGUUCCUCAUACCAAAGGACAAGGACUUGCUGCUCUUAGCUUCUUGCUGCAAUUGACGUUAAGCUUUGGUUGCUUGAUGUACCAAAUCAAUAAGAUAUCGGUAUGGCUGAAACUCAACAAUGCGCUGAAUAUUGCGAUGCAGCCCAGCCAUAAAACGUGCAAUAGUUUGCUCUUCAUCUUUAUACACAUUGGCUCUAAUCAUAGAUUUCUCCAUCUCCUUAUAAUACUCUUCAACAGAGAGACUUCCUUGCUUCAAAUUCUGCAAUUUAUCAAAAAGAUCACGCCGAUAGUGCUUCGGCACAAAACGACUUCUCAUUUCUCUCUUCAUUUCAUCCCAAGUUGCAAUAGGAUGUCUUCCAUCUUCUUCAUGAUCACUGAGGAGCUGCUCCCACCAUAUUAGAGCAUAUCCUUCAAACUCCAGAGAUGCCAUUGCCAGCUUCUCUUCUGAAUAAUUAUGCAAGCGAAAGAUUUUAUCCACUUUCAGCUCCCAAGUGAAAUAAGCUUCAGGAUCAGACCCACCAUCAAACUUUGGCAUGGUAAACUUCAGUUUUCCUAGCCUCUCCUCAUGAUUGCCUCUUCUACGAUGUCGACGACCAUAUCGAUAUUGAGAAUGAUCAUCAUCAUCCUCUUUUUCAGAUUCUUCAUUAUCAUGAUUUCUUCGACCUUGACCUCUUCCCCUACCUCGGUUCUUCCUUCCUUGUUCCCCUGAGCUUCUACUAGCAGCACUUCUAUCACUCAUAUCUCCAUCUUCACCAUGGUUGCUUGCUCCAUCAUGAGGUUGGCGACGCCUUCUGAUUUCAGUCAUAAGGUUCUGAAGAUCUUGUGUCAACCUAUCUUGCUUUUCUUCUAUGCUUUGUCGGAGUUCAUUAAAUUGUGCCAAAGUGACACAAUCCUCUAUUCCAUCACCCAUCUUCCUGUAAGGUUAGCUGAAUACAAAUAAUUUGUAUUUGUGGAAUAUGAAAAUUUGGUGGCCCUCACAACUCACCUCUCUAACCACCAAGGCUCUUAUGAAUUCCUCUGCUGCAGAUUACAAUGAAAACAAAUGUGUGGUGGCAACUGAAAAUGAUGGCGAGGCGAAUACAAGAACAGAGAGUACCGAUUACGAUGGUUUUUUUAUGUGGAGCUUGGUGGGGAGUAAUACACAAGGAAUGCAAUCUGAAUUCUAGUUGUUGUAAAGUUAAGUAACGAUCCAAACUAGAAGUUCUCUGCCUAGUGCUGAUCAAAAGAUUCGAAGUGUAUAAAUAGAUCACACACAAGCAAAGAAAUUUCAGAACUGAUGCAAACAAGGAGUAUGAUUGGGAUGCAAGUGUUGCAAUCAGACCCAACCAAAGUUUUGCACCAAACAAAGAUAGCAAACUAGUUGUAGAACUUGAUAUGAAACUUUCAGCACUUGUGCACAUAAACCAACUAAUCUUUCAGACUUUCUCUCUGAACCUUUCUCAACUUUUUUUUCACUUCACUUUUUUUUUGCACUUUCUUUUCUUUUUUUUGACACACUUUUUUUAUAUAUAUAGAACUAAAAACAGGGAUCAGAUUAUGAUACUUGCACAACUAAAGACAGAAAUAAAACAACAACCAGUAGCUAGAUAUGAUCAAAGUUAACACAAAGGAUGAUAUAGGCUAUAGAGAUUUUUUUUUGUGGGGAUUUUUAGAUAUAAAAGAGGCACAAAGAACACGCAAAGGAUAUGAUGAUCAGCAACUAUAACAAAGACUCUAAUGGACUGCGACUUAACCGAACUCACUAAAAUAACAGAUUGAAACAAAGGUCUAAGCAAUAUAUUUUUCUGGCUUUUUGGUGGGUAGGACGAAGCAAAAUAUAUAUGUAGCUAGGGAUAAAAUUCCUACCGUGGUAACGAAAGCUUUGAUACCAGAUGAUGCGUCAUGUUGUCCCGAUCUUCACGACGUAGGAAGAACAUCGAUAACUAGCUGAAGAACAGCCGGAUAACUUGCUGCAAGCAGCGAUAACUAGUGCAACCUGGCAAAUAAAACUCGAAGCCAACCACCGUCUUUAACCGGCAACCUGAAUCGAGGAUUCGUCCAACCACACUCUCAAGGAACCAACCAACACAGCCUACAAUCAAUCAAGGAAUACCUUGAAGGGAGUAGGAGCACCAAUUGGGAGCGGAUGAAGCCGCCGCCUAUGUAAUCCCGCGAGGAAAUCACAAGAGCAAAGGGGUAGAGAUCACUCUCUGGAUUUGUUAGCACGCAGCUGAACAAAGGGGUUCUGUAUUUCAAUUAUCAAAGUCUUAGAUUACAAUGAGUCUUAGGUGGUAUUUAUACUAGCAACAGCCCUGCUAGAUAGGUAUGAAAACGAAAUAGAGUUUCUGAGGGAAGUCAAUGUGAAAGGUCCCCUCGAAAUGGAUUCCCGAAGUGGCUUCGCGUGACUGUUGGUCUCCAGAGCAGUUUCUAAUAAACUGACCAUAACUUUUUAUUGGGAAGUCCAAAUGAUGAACCGUUUCUUGGGUGUGAAACUAGACUCAAAGGGCUUUCCAGCAAUGUAUGCCAACCAGCACGAAACUUUGUAGAUUGAUACAGUUUUACUUGGCAAGUUGUACCAACAUUCUGUCCCCACAGACUGUUGACCUUCUGAGCAGUCUGUACUAAUUCUGGUCUGCAGGCAAUAUGGAGUAUCCAAACUGGUCGCCACUAGAUUCAUUGGAAAGUAGACUCGUCAAGCUUUCCAACAAAUGCUCAUGGACCUUCAUAGCUUUUGUGAGUAAAAAGUUAUGAAGAUUCUUUGCACUGGUCCGUUUUUGACUUCCACUGGUCCGUUUUUGACUUCUUCUGGAACUUGCACUGGUCCGUUCUUCAUGGUCCGAUUCUUCCUUCUCUUCUUCUAUAUACCUGAGUACAAUCAAGGUACAACACUUAGGUAGUAUAUAAUUAUCAUUAAUGUUAAAAUGAAUCUCACAAAGUAGCGCGUGGACCUCUUGUUGUAGCUUCUUUGCACGACUACGUGUAAUCGGUCCAUCGAUGACUUGAGCUGGUGUCGGUGUAGGUGAAACUUGAGUUGGUGUAGCUUGACUUGGAGCUUGUGACAUCUUGCUUGGUGGCGUGGUCAUAUCAGGAUCCCUCUAGUUCUUCUAGUUCUACCUCUAGUUCAUCUAGAUCUAGUUCUAGUUCAUCUAGUUCUAGUUCUAGUUCCUCUAGUUCUAGUUCUAGUUAGUUCUAGUUGUAAUCUAGAAAAUAGGGAGAGCGAAGAGGAGAGCGGAGGAGGAGCCGGAUCUGUCGGAUACAUUGUACUUUUGCAGCAACUGGUUCGUUCUUCAUCGUUCUCCAGGUUCUUCAAUUCAUAAUUCCUGAGUUCUUUAAUUACUUUUAUUUACAUUCAAGUUAUUUAUUGGAUUCCCGCUUGCAUCAAGUGCUCUAGUCUUUAUAACGCUAGAGUAGUAAUUAAUAGAUUAGACGUGGUGUUUAGUCUUGCGAUUACCUGGAAUUGCACCCAAUCCCACGGAUUGUUGUGGUAGCCCUAGGGUAGUGACAGCCCUAACGGUCGACGUAUUCCACCACGUUCGGAUCGGUGUUUGUAGGACCGUAGUCAGACCUUCCUAGCCCCCUUCUCAUCUCUUUCUGUGGUUAGUGCUCUGAUGUCCCGAUAUAGAUAAUCUUGAAGUAAUUCUUGAUUCUUAGAUCAACUAGAGAACUCUCAGGAAACUUCCUCUCUUCCCACCAAAAAUAAUUAUAUAGUUAUCCUUGGGCGAUCUUGGAUCUUAAUUAGUACACUCAUGUUCUCUGUGGAAAAUCGAUACUCUGGAAUACUCCCGGGUGAAAGCUACAUCGGUAUCCGUGCGCUUGCGGAUUUUUCUGUUUGCGUUUAAAAUACCCAACAAGCUUUCUGGCGCCGUUGCCGGGGAACGGUAGCUGUGCUAGUUUCGAACCAAGUCGUCCGUGUAUCCUUUUAUUUUCCUUUUUUUUACCACACUCACCUUACUAUUUUCACCAUACCACAUGGAUUUCACUCUAAGCAUUAAUAAGCAUGGAAUUUAUUUCAUAGCCACUUCAUUUACUCCAUGCUCAUAUGCAACAUCUUCACAAUCCAUUGGUCUUUCCAACAUCACCACAUUCGAGAUCUCCAACCCCCUCAUCCUUUCUAUUUAUAAAAACUUUAAAAGGGCGGUUGUCGAUGCAUAUGUCUAUAAGAAAUAUUGCAGAUCUCGUUGAGUUGAUCUUGAUAUAGGUCAGCGUUGGAGGGGAAACCACUUCACCGACAUAAAUUGAUGGUUUCCCAAGGACAAGCUUAGAGUCCUAAAACAAGCACUGAUCAGAUCAUAACUUGAGCUUUUAAUUAUUUGUAUCAUUACCUUGUGUAUUGAGCAUAUAAGGAUAAUUGUAAAAAUAUUCCUUCGGGUAUUCUUGUCACUAACCUUUCCAGGAUUGGAGCAAGAAGAUCGAAUGAAUGACAAGCACAAGGUAUGUCCAACCAAUCAUCAUACAACAUUGAAUUGAAUUCAUCCAAACUUGAAUUUUGCAAAAUUCAAGCUUGGGGGAGUACUUUACAUUAAAACAUCCUUUGCCAUGUUGUUAUGUUGGUUGUCACUACCUUUGAGACAUGCUCAAUUUGUUAAAUACUAAUCACGCUACUUCAUCUCCACUUGAGUAGAUCUCUAUAAAUGCUCUCAUGCUACCUUUAUUUGCUUUAGUAUAUGUUUAGGUUUGGAGUAGUUUCAUUUAUCUCUUAAUUAAGCAUGGUGCUUAGUUUAGGGCUGAUGAUCUUACUUCCAAGGGUUUUUAAAUCAAGCUUGGUGCUUAGGUUAAAAUGCCCUCCUAAAUCAAAUUAGACAUGGUGUCUAGGUUGAUCUUUGAGCCGAUAGUAUGCUAUAGUAGAUAUUGGAUAUUUUGUUGGACUAACCCCUGCAGGAAAACUUUUAAUAUCGACCUGGGAAGUCCUGAGAUAAACUCACAUUGGAGACAAAGAGAGAGGCACAUGAAGUUUAAUAAUUUACACAAGGAAGGCAUAGCUCACAAGAGAUGAUCCAUGGAGGUGCCACAAACACGAUGCACAACCGCUAAGAGAGGAAAGCUUCCACAAGGUGAUACUGUACCACCAUUCUUCAAGUAAGGUAACAUUUUAAGGUACUUGACUAUCACUUCUAUAAGCUUUUCCUUGGUUCUGGCAUUCCAUGAAUAAAAGAGACAAACAUGUAUGAUUUACAACUCUAGAUUAACCAACCCAAUCGAUUCAACAUGUUUAGUCCUUCCACCUUUGUGAUCCCAUACUCCUAAUAUGAGCUAAAAUGUUGCACAUGCAAUCUUUGGAAGAUAUAUAAAAAGAAGAUAAGUAUAGAUAGAUUAUCUUUCCAUUAGGUUGAGUAAUCUGAUCUGACGAAUGUUUUAAAUGCUACACUCAUGAUCUUAUUAUCCAUCAACUUUGUUUUGCUCACUAUGCUUAAGGAUAGAGAAGAAUAAAUACACUUUUGGUUCUGUUGGUGUUUUUCACCAACAGGGCCCAUGCACUUGAUCUCUGCCUUGUCUCUAUGAGCAGGUACACUUUGAGCAAAAUAUGAAGGACUUUUACAACUCCUAGACUCCACAAAGUGAAGAACCUAGAUCUACAAGCACAAACACACUGGAGAUACUGGACACUCAUGCAAACACUGCCCUGAGAUGCUUGAGGAUGUAACUACUGGAGUAACCCCGUUGUGGAAGUAAUUACUGACCUUCUGCCGGUCAAGAGAGACAAUCUAGGAGGCCCCGUCAUCCCAAUCUCCAUCGGCAUGGUGGACUUCCUAGAAGCACUCUGUGACUUUGGCUCCAGCGUCAACUUUAUACCUAGGGGAAGCCAUUCCUGAACACCUCGGGAGCUGUCAUCUACGCUAGUGCUGCCAAGAUCAGUUUCUACAUCAAGGGGAAGAAGGAGAUGUUUUCCUUCAAGAAACAAGGCUACACAAAUCCCAGAGCAAUCCCGACAUGAACCAAGGAAGAGGACCAACAGGAGGAACAAGAACAAGCAAAUGUGUACCGAGUCAGCUAAGAUGGUCACUGCAGCUCAAGGAGGUCAAGAUCGUCAACUCAAAUCACCUUUCUUGAUCAAGAAGGACGACCCUGGUGUCCCAAGCAUCGAGUGCACAAUCAAUAGAUAUUCUUUUCAGAAGACACUCUACGACACCGGAUCUAACGUCAACAUAAUGGCCGCAGUCACUUAUCAGCUCCUGUAUGGAACCAUGUCCCUACAACCAACAUACAUUCAGCUUCAGAUGGCAGAUCAGACAUUCUGAAAGAUUGAAGGUUAUUGACAUGGGAGAAGACGAGUACGAUCCACCCAUCAUCAUUGGAAGACCGUUCUUUAGCACCAUUAAAGCAAUCAUAUACAUUGGAACCAGAGAAGUCCACAUGCACUUCCCCUCUGAGAAGGUACGCCGCUGUUUUACUGACCCUAACUAUAUAGUUGAAGACUCUAAGCAGGUCAGGACAAGAAGAAGACGACGCAACCGCAACCAGAGGAGGCAAAUUUCAAGGACGGAUGGGCAGACUAUGAAGGAGAAGUAGUAAGGUCUGAAGACAUACAGCUUGAACAGAAUUUUCCUGAGGAGACCGUAGCACCGAGUCAAGUGUGGACAGAGAAAAUAGUUAUACAUGAAGAGUACGCGCCGCCGGAACCACCGACUACGCCAUCCAGCGAAUUCCAGGAUGAUUGAGAAAACGGAGAAUCCUGUUCGGAGGACUUAAAGACACCAAACGCCUUGCCAAGAGGUAAACUUGGUAGUUAUCUUUUUUCUUUCAACUAUUUAAAAUAGUUUUCUUAGUUAAUUAGGUUCAUAUCAUCUUGAAAAGAAAAUAAAAAUGUAAAAAUAGUAAGGCCCAUGUGAGUAUGCUCAUGGCAUAAAACGCAUAAGUACAUUCACUGUGGUGGCAUAAAAAUAAAAUAAAUAUAUUCCUAUCCUAUAAAAAUAAAAUUAUAAAAAUAAAUUUAUGAUCCUACUGAAGAGAGUAACAUUUAUUGAGGAGGCUCAACAUGAUAAAGGCUAGAUACUUAUGCUAACACUUAACUAGUUCCACAAAGCUUUGUUGUCUAUUUGAGCUCCACAGAAUUCAAGGAUCAAAGAAGACUAGCAGACGGAGGACAUCCUAAUCGCUGUCAGGGUGCUGCCACAUUCAAAUACACCUCCGCCACCUGCUAGCUACAUCAGAAGGAAUUACGUCAAAACCCAGCUUGGGGGAGAGCAACCCCAUUUAUCCAGCUAAGUACUCUACUCAUGUUUAUACUUUACUUAAAUAAUAAAAAAGAUGCACAAUCAUAAAAACCCAAAUAAAGAUUUUGUGCUUAUAUAUAUAUAUUUGCUUAGUUUGCUAAAUAAAUAAAUAAAUAAAAUUUGCUAUGAACCCUCAUGAUAAGCUCUCACAUGGAAAGAUGAAUAGUUGCUCUGCCAUGACUGUUAUUAAUUAAGAUUUGCUCUAAACCUGAACUUGUGGGGAGAGUACUUCAUCUAAAGUCUAAGUCGUUAACGGAUACGAUAUGGGAAGGUUGAGCUGUUGUUUAUCUGUUCCUAGAGAUGCUAGAAUUCUGGAGAAUUUUAUCUUUGAAAAUCUUUAAAAUGUUACAUGAUGAGUUCCUGUAUGAUGAGAGUUUAAAUUCCUACCACAGCCAUAUAUACAUGCUUGCUAGACUUUGAGCCACACAUUUACUUUUUACUACUUAUGAGCAUUGAGUGUGGUCAAGCUGUGUAGACCCUUAGGAGCUUGUCAUGUGGUUAAAUCAAGAUUCACUUGCACGUUCACUCACACAUGCUACUUCUACUCCAGAAGUACCAUCCACAUAUAUAUAUCCAUUUCCAUCUCUAGAACCACCCAAAAAUAUUCUACUCCUAAUCCGGGAGAGAAUAGCCAAAAAUAUUCCUGUUUUUCCCUGUGAAAUAAAUGCUCAAGUUAUCUUGUUACUACCACUUGCUAUAUUAUCUCAUGAGAUGAGUGCUCUAAAAAAAAGAAAAAAAUAUAUAUAUAUAUACGAGGAAAUAAAAAGGGGCAAGUGCCCGGAACCUCGAAGAAAAGAAAAAGUGAGACGAGAGGUAAAAAAGGACAAGUGUCCGAUAGUAGAAUUAGGGGUACAAGAUACCCACCUGAGAGAAAAGAAAAAAAGAAAAUAUAGAGCAUCUCAUUCUCCUUAAAAAGUUUCAAAAGUGCAAGAAAGGUAUGUAUCCCCUCAAAAGAGCAAAGUAGAAUUAGACUUUCACCAUUGUUAUCACCAUCAUCACCAUACACCAUUCAUUCGCCACACAUGCACAUCUUGAUUUGACUUAUUGACUUGUUCUUUUGGAUCCAUGGUUUGACUAUGCAAUAAAUGUCUUGUAAGUAUGUAUUAGUUGUCUCCCACCUAUGAGCUCCAGAUAUCAAAAACCUUAUUAGAGUAGGGUGAGAGAGAAGGCAAUGCCACUAUGCCUUAUACCACAAAUACCACAUACUUUGAGAGAAGGCAUAUACCAAUACUGCCUUGGUAAGGAUCCAGAAAUACUACAAAAGAGAGACUAGAGAGAGUC